CCCUUAGAUGUUCUGGGCUGCACGCGCGCUACACUGAUGCGUUCAACGAGUGUACAACCUUGCCCGAUAGGGUUGGGUAACCUUCUGAACACGCAUCGUGAUGGGGAUAGAGUAUUGCAAUUAUUACUCUUCAACGAGGAAUUCCUAGUAAUGAUGGAUCAUCAGUUCAUCGUGAUUACGUCCCUGCCCUUUGUACACACCGCCCGUCGCUCCUACCGAUUGAGCAAUCCGGUGAAUAUUUCGGACCAGAAAUUUUCGGGGCGACCCGUUUAAUUUCCGGAAAGUCAAGUUAACCUUAUUGCUUAGAGGAAGGAGAAGUCGUAACA
rnacentral:rRNA from 1 species